rnacentral:rRNA from 1 species
UACGUAGGUCCCGCGCGUUAUCCGGAUUUAUUGGGCGUAAAGCGCGCGCAGGCGGUUAGAUAAGGCUGAAGUGAAAGGCUGUGGCUUAACCAUAGUAUGCUUUGGAAACUGUUUAACUUGAGUGCAGAAGGGGAGAGUGGAAUUCCAUGUGUAGCGGUGAAAUGCGUAGAUAUAUGGAGGAACACCGGUGGCGAAAGCGGCUCUCUGGUCUGUAACUGACGCUGAGGCUCGAAAGCGUGGGGAGCAACCAGG